GAUGAACGCUGGCGGCAUGCUUUACACAUGCAAGUCGGACGGGAAGUGGUGUUUCCAGUGGCGGGCGGGUGAGUAACGCGUAAGAACCUGCCCUUGGGAGGGGAACAACAGCUGGAAACGGCUGCUAUACCCCGUAGGCUGAGGAGCGAAAGGAGGAAUCCGCCCAAGGAGGGGCUCGCGUCUGAUUAGCUAGUUGGUGAGGUAAUAGCUUACCAAGGCCGUGAUCAGUAGCUGGUCCGAGAGGAUGAUCAGCCACACUGGGACUGAGACAAGGCCCAGACUCCUACGGGAGGCAGCAGUGGGGAAUUUUCCGCAAUGGGCGAAAGCCUGACGGAGCAAUGCCGCGUGGAGGUAAAAGGCCUACGGGUCAUGAACUUCUUUUCCUGGAGAAGAAACAAUGACGGUAUCUGGGGAAUAAGCAUCGGCUAACUCUGUG
rnacentral:rRNA from 1 species